GGGCCUGUAACUCAGUGGUAGAGUGCUCGCUUCGCAAUCCCAUCGUAAUAUCUGCGAGAAGUCUAGGGUUCGACUCCCUACUGGUCCA